CAGCCGCCGCGGGAAUACAAAGGGUGCGAGCGUUAAUCGGAUUUACUGGGCGUAAAGCGUGCGUAGGCGGCUUCUUAAGUCGGAUGUGAAAUCCCUGAGCUUAACUUAGGAAUUGCAUUCGAUACUGGGAAGCUAGAGUAUGGGAGAGGAUGGUAGAAUUCCAGGUGUAGCGGUGAAAUGCGUAGAGAUCUGGAGGAAUACCGAUGGCGAAGGCAGCCAUCUGGCCUAAUACUGACGCUGAGGUACGAAAGCAUGGGGAGCAAACAGGAUUAGAUACCCCCGUAGUCCCUGUCUCUUAUAC
rnacentral:rRNA from 1 species